rnacentral:rRNA from 1 species
GCGUAGGAAUCUACCUAGUAGUACGGAAUAGCCAUUAGAAAUGGUGGGUAAUACUGUAUAAUCCCCGAGGGGGAAAGAUUUAUCGCUAUUAGAUGAGCCUACGUUAGAUUAGCUAGUUGGUGAGGUAAUGGCUUACCAAGGCUAUGAUCUAUAGCUGGUCUGAGAGGACGAUCAGCCACACUGGAACUGAGAUACGGUCCAGACUCCUACGGGAGGCAGCAGUGGGGAAUAUUGGACAAUGGGCGAAAGCCUGAUCCAGCUAUGCCGCGUGAGUGAAGAAGGCCUUCGGGUUGUAAAACUCUUUCAAUAGGGAAGAUAAUGACGGUACCUAUAA